GAUAGAAAUGGUUAGAUUUGCGAGCGCUUUUUUAAUAAAAUUAAAUAACCUUAUUCUUCUUUUGAGUAAUCAUGCAGUGAUGCAAUUUAAGAAAUAAAUACAAUAUCGCAUUUAUUAACGUGUAACUUAUGUAAUCUUAUUUUACGUUCAAAAAAGUGUAGCAUACAAUCGCGGUCGUGGAAGGAACGCAUCCUUCAAUCAAUGACAGGUGGCGAGUUGACAGCGUAUUCGGCCUCGGAAGAUAUUUCGAACGUUAUUUUUACCAACAAUACUGCGUAAAAUAUACAUAAAAACAUGCAACAAAUAACAGUAUUCAUGGAUAUUGAAAGUUCACGUUCGUAUAUCGACGAGCUGUAUUCGUCAGAUGCGCCUAAGGUUGUGGAGGCCUUAGUGGCGCUGAAGAACUCAGUGAUAGGCAGCAACAGACAGAAGAGUUCGGUGAUACAGCAAGGAGUAGUGCCGAGGUUGCUGCAACUAAUGUCAGAUGAAACGCUGGACCCCAACAUAAGACUUGAAGCCACCAUCACAAUCGGUUCACUUGCAAAAGGCACAACAGAGAAUGUGAACUCCUUAGUAGAGCAAGGUACCGCCACAGCGCUGGUGGAACUCCUCAAAACGGCACCGGUUGGCACAAAGUUGGCAGAAGCUGGAUUAUGUGCACUGCGGAGUGUGUUCAUGACCCCACCUGCACCUAUAUCAGCCUUGCCAGCAGACAUGAGGCUUCUAACGAGGCUUACACAAAUAGCCCGCGAAGGUUCCCCAACAGCCCGAGCGUGCGUGGUCCGUAUCCUCUCAAUCUGGUGCGGUGGCGCGGGGGAACAAGAGGCGUUAUGUGCCGCGGGAGCGUGCGAGGCUGCUGCAGCGCUUUUAGCAGCCACGCCACCGGCGGCGCCUGCGCUGCCAGCGCUUGAUUUACUGGCUGCAAUGUGCUUUGAGAAUACCAAUGUGUCGCAUAUUGCGCUGAAUACGAGGCAUGGUGACAAAACAAUCCCAGAGCUGUUAUCAACACUGGUAUGUCGGGACAAGCCAUUACCAGUGGCAAUGGGUGCCGCAAGAUGCCUUACAUUCAUGCAUCGAGCUAAUGCUUUGCCUGCUGAUGAUGCUCGUGUGGUAUUCGGCGCUCUCCCGUGCCUCGCCCGGCUGUGCACGAAGGACAUGCCGGAAGACAUCCGAGCGUCCGCCGCCGAGACCUUAGCUUAUCUAGCAGAGGUAGACACAUCCCUCCAAAGGCUAGCAGCGAUAUCUAACCACCUCAUGACGUCACUAGCAGAGAUAGUCAACUGCCAAUCUCCGGCAGCUAAGCAAGGCGCAUUCAAAUGUUUCGCGUCGCUCGGCGCUAAUGAUGAGGAUAUUCGCAAGAGGAUCAUUGAGACACAUGGGUUGAUGGUCCAUGUUGUUAAUGGCAUGAAUAACCCGGAGGCUUCGGUAAGAUUAGCAGCAGUCAGAUGUCUACACUCAUUAUCAAGAUCUGUGCAACAACUCAGGACAACAUUUCAGGACCAUGCCGUAUGGAAGCCCCUUAUGCAAUUACUAACGGACUCGCCGGGAACAGAACUACUCACAGUCGGUUCAUCAACGCUCUGCAAUUUACUUCUAGAAUUCUCUCCGGCCAAAGAACCAAUGUUGGAUCAAGGUGCAGUAGAAAUGUUGUGUAAUUUGACGAAGAGGCCCGAAGCUGCCUUGAGAUUGAACGGAAUUUGGGCGCUAAUGAAUAUGGCUUUUCAGGCGGAACAGAAGGUGAAGCAGCGCAUCCUGAGCUGCCUGGGCACGGAGCAGAUGUUCCGGCUGCUGGGCGACGCCGACACGCGCGUCAUCAUGAAGACGCUCGGCCUGCUGCGCAACCUGCUGUCCACCCGCCACCACAUCGACGCCAUCAUGACCGACUACUCCGAGCAGGUCAUGCAGGCUGUGAUAGUAGUUCUAGAAGGUUCGUACCCAGCCGAGGUGAAAGAACAAGCGUUAUGUAUCCUGGGCAACAUUGGCGACGGAGAAAAGGCUAAGGAUCUCAUCAUGGCCAACGAAGAUGUGCUCAGAAAACUUGUCGACUAUCUGGUCCAGGCAUCCAAUCGGUCCUGGGGGCAAACAUCGACCGAGUACGUGACGAGAGCGAUACAAUGGGCGAUUGAAAAGACGACGGAAGGCGCACCCGGAGAGCAAGCUGCAGGAGGCGGCGCUGUUCGUGUGCGGCAACCUAGUGUGGCGCGGCGAGGCGGGCGCGGCGGCGCGGCAGGCGCGCCUGGCCGAGCUCGGCGUGCUGCGCGCGCUCAAGCUGCUGCGCGCAAGGCACGACGCCGCGCAUCUGCACGACAAGUGAGUAUACACAGUAGCCCUGCUACCUGGUGUGGCGCGGCGAGGCGGGCGCGGCGGCGCGGCAGGCGCGCCUGGCCGAGCUCGGCGCUGCGCGCGCUCAAGCUGCUGCGCGCAAGGCACGACGCCGCGCAUCUGCACGACAAGUGAGUAUACACAGUAGCCCUGCUACCUGGUGUGGCGCGGCGAGGCGGGCGCGGCGGCGCGGCAGGCGCGCCUGGCCGAGCUCGGCGUGCUGCGCGCGCUCAAGCUGCUGCGCGCAAGGCACGACGCCGCGCAUCUGCACGACAAGUGAGUAUACACAGUAGCCCUGCUACCUGGUGUGGCGCGGCGAGGCGGGCGCGGCGGCGCGGCAGGCGCGCCUGGCCGAGCUCGGCGUGCUGCGCGCGCUCAAGCUGCUGCGCGCAAGGCACGACGCCGCGCAUCUGCACGACAAAGUGAAGACGGCUCUGGCGCAGUUUAACGACUUCUCAUAAUGGCACAAGGGCCGCAGACACAAACGUAUGAAACGAUAGUGUCUGUUUAGUUAUAGUAACGCUUGUGAUUCAGUCGCGCGCGACAGUGAGUUAUCCAGUCAUAAACCUUAUGAUAUUACGACACUACGUCUAGCUCUAAGUAUUUAAUUGUACAUAAAUAAGUUCACAAAUUGUUAUAUCGACGAGGAGUGUUAUUGAAUUUAUUUAUUUUUUAAUUUAAUUAUCUCACAGUAACUGUACAUUUCAUACCAUUCAUGUAUAUGUAACAUUUUGACGAGUAUCUCUCCCAAAGAAUACGAUACGCGUUUCCAACGACAGAGGUGCUAGAUCCCCUCGCAAAAUGGAUAUUUUUGUGAAACUAGCGGAAAAUGUAGUUAAACUACAAUAGUGUAAUUUAGUUAGUUGUUGAUAUUGCGGCCGUUUUGUAUGCGUGUGUAUAUUGGAAUCAUGUUUAUCGGUCGAAUUGUCCGACAGUGGGUGUCAUAUUUUUGUCAUUUCUCAAAAUCAGUAUUGAUUGUAUUUUGUGUAGGUUCGUACCCCUUGGUGCGGUUAAAAUACUCAUGUGUACUUUGUUGUAUACAGUUAAGUUUUGGAAUGGCUGAUUUUAGUCUAAAUUCAACGUUUAUACGACGGAUUUGGCUAGUGAAGUGCGGUAACACAGUCAAUUUUACUAUCGGUGUUACCAAUUCGAAAAAUAUUUUUUCUAUUAUAAAUUGUCUCUUUUAUUGAUGUUUCAUGUGUCUUAUAUCGUUAAGCUUUAGUCUGCUUAUAUUUAGAAAAUAUCAAGCUCAAAAUACGGCUUAAAGUUUAAUAAAUAACUUUAUAUUUAAAGUUUUUCCAUCUAUCAUAUCCACGGUCGGACUUAUGAAAAGUAAAUAAAUUGAAUACGAAAAUACGAACUCACAUUUUGGAUCCUAAAUAUCAUGAAAAUAUAUUUACAAAAAUAAAUUCACUUGUAAAUAAAUACUGAAGAAAUAAAUGGAUUUCGUAUUUUCGUCAAGCGCGAGUCUCAAGACAACGGCGAUAUAUAACAGGUAGCUUUUGAUAACGCAUUGAAUGUAUGACUGUAUGUAGAUAACUAAUUCUAAUACUUUUACCUUCAGAAUAACUGCUUUUGGGCUAUAUUUUAUUAAUAAAAUAAAUAUACUUGAUGCCAACGCUAUGCAAAUAUAAUAUCUUCCAUUUCUAUAAAAUUGUGUAUUCUUUGACAUUAUUUCGUUGGGCUUCACAAUAAGCGGUGAACGGAUAGGAAUUUCGAAGAAAUGUUAUCUAUGCUGGAUUAGCGGACAUGUUUCACCAUUAUUUUUAGAAUGGUUCAAUCUUUAAGAUAAAUUCAGUCUUUCAAAAGUUGAAAGUUCAGAAGUUAAUAUUUUUUGGUAUUCAUUUAUGUUUCUUUCAUAGUAUGUUCUUAAAAUUAUUCUUCAUUCUUCGUCUGUUCUCCGCUUAUUUCGCAGCCCAAACUAUCAGUUAGACUGAUGUGAUAUCAACCUACAUUGAUGCAUCUGAUGUAAACGCUAACUUUACAUAUUAAUUCAAAUAAAUGUGAUGUUGUUGCCUUUCUAAAUACUACGUAAUUAAAUGAACAGUAUACUGGGUUUAACUUGUGAUACAAAAUCCAAGUGCGAACUAUUGCGAAUUAAUAUGAAAAGUUAUAUGUAUAACAAUAUAUAAUUAUGUAUAUAGAGCCAGGUAGCUUAAUAAAUGUUUGUCGCUCAUUACAUUAUGUUAUUGUUAAUAUUUCGAACACGAAAAUUGUAGGUACAUUAUUUUGGUACUUUGAUCGGUGUAAUUUAAUUUAAAUGAUGUUAGUAAUUGUAUAAAAUGUUUCGUUUGCACUCAUGUUCUGACAAAAGUGUUUUCACACUUGCUUGCCAAACAAUUGGAUAGUUUAAAUCAUGUUAAAUGUUAAUUAAAAUAUUGACUUAAAAUGUGCUAGUUAUUACAAUGUGUUCAAUGUGCGUAUGUGAAAUUAUUGAGUACCUUAAAAUGCCUAUAUUAUGUGUGAAUUAUACAUGUUGUUCAUCUGAAUGUGUAAUUGUUUAAGUGGUAAUUCAUUAGGUAUUAAAUUAAUAUGAAGGUUUCGCUAGGAAGUUAGCUAGCAAUCUUUUUUUUGGUUUUACAUUAAUGAUCUUUGACAUUGACACAAGCAAUUACGAUCGUCCAUUGUCAUAUAGGACGCAAACAAGUGUGAAAAAGCAAUAUUGAUUUUGAUGUUUUAUAUAAAUUAUAUACAAAUUAUGUUCAAAUGACUGAUAGAUUAGGCUAAUUCUUCGACGAAUAAAUGGGUUUUUGAUUAUUUCAAUGAAUGAGUCGCUUCACCAUCAUUUUUUUUCUAUUUAUUGUAAAAUUCUCUCGUUCUCAAUGUACCAAGUUGUAUAAUUUCGCUCAUAUUUUUGACAUUGCGAGUUCUGAAAUGUAAAAUAUUAUUUAUGACAAGUUACGUUUUUCAUAUCUAUUAAUAUGAAGAUAAUGCGAAAAC